rnacentral:rRNA from 1 species
UUACUGGGCGUAAAGCGGGCGCAGACGGUUACUUAAGCAGGAUGUGAAAUCCCCGGGCUCAACCUGGGAACUGCGUUCUGAACUGGGUGACUAGAGUGUGUCAGAGGGAGGUAGAAUUCCACGUGUAGCAGUGAAAUGCGUAGAGAUGUGGAGGAAUACCGAUGGCGAAGGCAGCCUCCUGGGAUAACACUGACGUUCAUGCCCGAAAGCGUGGGUAGCAAACAGGAUUAGAUACCCUGGUAGUCCACGCCGUAAACGAUGAGUGCUAGGUGUUAGGCCCUUUCCGGGGCUUAGUGCCGCAGCUAACGCAUUAAGCACUCCGCCUGGGGAGUACGACCGCAAGGUUGAAACUCAAAGGAAUUGACGGGGGCCCGCACAAGCGGUGGAGCAUGUGGUUUAAUUCGAAGCAACGCGAAGAACCUUACCAGGUCUUGACAUCCCUCUGACCGCUCUAGAGAUAGAGUUUUCCUUCGGGACAGAGGUGACAGGUGGUGCAUGGUUGUCGUCAGCUCGUGUCGUGAGAAG